AGUGAACGCUGGCGGUAGGCCUAACACAUGCAAGUCGAACGGCAGCACAGUAAGAGCUUGCUCUUACGGGUGGCGAGUGGCGGACGGGUGAGGAAUACAUCGGAAUCUACUUUUUCGUGGGGGAUAACGUAGGGAAACUUACGCUAAUACCGCAUACGACCUACGGGUGAAAGCAGGGGAUCUUCGGACCUUGCGCGAUUGAAUGAGCCGAUGUCGGAUUAGCUAGUUGGCGGGGUAAAGGCCCACCAAGGCGACGAUCCGUAGCUGGUCUGAGAGGAUGAUCGGCCACACUGGAACUGAGACACGGUCCAGACUCCUACGGGAGGCAGCAGUGGGGAAUAUUGGACAAUGGGCGCAAGCCUGAUCCAGCCAUACCGAGUGGGUGAAGAAGGCCUUCGGGUUGUAAAGCCGUUUUGUUGGGAAAGAAAAGCAGCAGGUUAAUACCCCGCUGUUCUGACGGUACCCAAAGAAUAAGCACCGGCUAACUUCGUG
rnacentral:rRNA from 1 species